rnacentral:rRNA from 1 species
UUCGCCCUUGAGUUUGAUCAUGGCUCAGAACGAACGCUGGCGGCAGGCCUAACACAUGCAAGUCGAACGCCCUAGCAAUAGGGAGUGGCAGACGGGUGAGUAACACGUGGGAACCUUCCCAAUAGUACGGAAUAGCCCAGGGAAACUUGGAGUAAUACCGUAUACGCCCGAGAGGGGAAAGAUUUAUCGCUAUUGGAUGGGCCCGCGUUGGAUUAGCUAGUUGGUGAGGUAAUGGCUCACCAAGGCGACGAUCCAUAGCUGGUCUGAGAGGACGACCAGCCACACUGGGACUGAGACACGGCCCAGACUCCUACGGGAGGCAGCAGUGGGGAAUAUUGGACAAUGGGCGCAAGCCUGAUCCAGCCAUGCCGCGUGAGUGAUGAAGGCCUUAGGGUUGUUUUGUUCUUUUGCCGGGGACGAUAAUGACGGUACCCGGAGAAUAAGUCCCGGCUAACUUCGUGCCAGCAGCCGCGGUAA